rnacentral:ncRNA from 1 species
GCGGGCGGGUGGUCAGGAUAGCUGGCGUUUUUGUAACCGUCUCAUCGGUAAAGGAAGAUUAGAGGCCUUGGGCCGAACGACCUCAACUACUCUCAAACUUAAUGGGGUGAGAAGUCAGCUUGCUUAAUCGAAGCUCUGACAAUGGAUGGUGAGUCAAGUGGCCAUCUUGGUAAGCAGGACUGGGGCUGUGGGUGACCAACCCGGGUUAGGCGCCCGAAUCGACGCAUCAGAUCCCAUAAAAGGCGUUGGUUGCUUAAGACAAGCAGGACGGUGGCCAUGGAGUCGGAAUCCGCUAAGAGGUGUAACACUCACCUGCCGAAAGCAACUAGCCCGAAAAUGGAUGGCGCUGAAGCGUCCGUGCAUCCCGGCCGUUGGGUCCAAAGAGGCUUAAAUGUCCGCGAGGACCCAACGAGUAGAGGGUCGUGGGCGGUGUGCGUAGAAGGGUCUGGGCGUGGGCCUAACCUGGAAGCCGCCGUCAGUG